rnacentral:lncRNA from 1 species
AUUCCUUCCAAUAUCUCUCUAUAUAUACACACUUAGACACAUAUGUACACACACAAAAUAGCUAACCCAGCUUUAUAUUUUCAAUACAAUCAUCAUUUUCUAUACAACUUUUCAAUCAAAAUUAGCUUGACAUUAUUCAAGAAUUAUGGAUGCCCCAACCUCCCAAGAGAUGUCGUAUGUUGAUCAUAUCAAAAGGCGACACGAAGAGAAAGGCUUUCUCUAUGCAUGGUUUGUUUAACAGAUGUUAUGUAUUUUCACUGCUAUGGAAAAAUCAUUCAAAUGAUCAAUUCAUUGUAUUUUUUCUUUUUUGUAAAGAUUAAUAUUGUUACAUGUCUGAUACAGUUUGUUCGCACUGUGUUGCUGUUUUUGCUGCUAUGAGGCUUGUGAGUGUUGUCUGGAUAUUUGCUGCUGCAACUCUGGUUAAAUUCUUCACAGGAGUGAAAGAUCCUUUGUAUGUAUUAUAUUAAUUUUUGUGUAUUUUCAGAGAUGGAAUUCUGUGCAAGAUUUUUUGGAUUAGUGACUCAUUAAUCCAAAGAUGUAAUAUAUUUUCGUGAACCUUUUGCAAUAGCUUCUGUAUUUGUAUAAUGACUAAACAUCAAAUAUGGAACAUCAUAUAAUUUUAUCAAUAUUUUAGCUGACUGGAUGAAUUUUGAAUAUGAAUAGGGUUGAG